rnacentral:rRNA from 1 species
AUUGAACGCUGGCGGCAUGCCUUACACAUGCGAGUCGAACGGCAGCACGGGUGCUUGCACCUGGUGGCGAGUGGCGAACGGGUGAGUAAUACAUCGGAACAUGUCCUGUAGUGGGGGAUAGCCCGGCGAAAGCCGGAUUAAUACCGCAUACGAUCUACGGGUGAAAGCGGGGGACCUUCGGGCCUCGCGCUAUAGGGUUGGCCGAUGGCUGAUUAGCUAGUUGGUGGGGUAAAGGCCUACCAAGGCGACGAUCAGUAGCUGGUCUGAGAGGACGACCAGCCACACUGGGACUGAGACACGGCCCAGACUCCUACGGGAGGCAGCAGUGGGGAAUUUUGGACAAUGGGCGAAAGCCUGAUCCAGCAAUGCCGCGUGUGUGAAGAAGGCCUUCGGGUUGUAAAGCACUUUUGUCCGGAAAGAAAUCCUUGGCCCUAAUACGGUCGGGGGAUGACGGUACCGGAAGAAUAAGCACCGGCUAACUACGUG